UACGUAGGGGGCAAGCGUUGUCCGGAAUCAUUGGGCGUAAAGCGCGUGUAGGCGGCCCGGUAAGUCCGCUGUGAAAGUCGGGGGCUCAACCCUCGGAUGCCGGUGGAUACUGUUGGGCUAGAGUGCGGAAGAGGCGAGUGGAAUUCCUGGUGUAGCGGUGAAAUGCGCAGAUAUCAGGAGGAACACCAAUUGCGAAGGCAGCUCGCUGGGACGUUACUGACGCUGAGACGCGAAAGCGUGGGGAGCAAACAGG
rnacentral:rRNA from 1 species